CACUUAGCUGUGUUCCUGACAGGAACAAUAGGACUAAACAAAGUGGGGUGGGUGGAGGAAAGAGCAUUAUUUAACAGUAAAAUUCUCCUGACUUAUAGAUCAGUUGAGUGUAAGGCGUUUCCCCCUCUUCCUAGCCCUUGGAUAGGGUGAUCUUCCCAAAGAAAGGCAGAUCAAGUCAUUCAACAGUAUAAAAACCUUCCAUGGUUUCCAGCAGGAUAAACCUAAGCUAUUUAGCUCAACCUCAGCUUUCACGAGGCACCUCUGUGCUUGGUCGGCUGAGCUACUGCCAGUUGCUCCAGUGCCCCAAGGUGUGAGCCUCUGAGCUUCCACAGAAACUGUGCUCUCUUCCUGGAUUGCUCUCUUCCUCUUAAAGAAGACACACUCUUCUUCUGAAGCUUGGCUCAAGAAUCUCCUCCAUUAUAAAGCAGUCCUAGCCUCCCCAGUGGCAACCCUGAAUGCACCUAGUGAGAUGGCCACAAGAAGGAAGCAGACUGGAUCCCUGAGUGACCUUGGAAGGGACUACCCCAACAAGAAGAGGACGCCCAGAGACACACAGAGAAUGCCAUGUGAAGACGGAAGCAGAGUUUGGAGUGAUGUCUACACACCAAGGAACACCCGGAAUUGCCGGCAGCCAUUCCCAGAAGCUCCCUCAGAGGCACUGGAAGGAACCAACCUUCCCAAAAACUUGAUUUUGAACUUCUGGCCUCCUGAACCAUGAGUAUAAAUUUCUGUUAUUUAAA
rnacentral:lncRNA from 1 species